UUUUAAAUAAUUGGAGGGGGUUCUUGAGCAUCCUCCAUGUGAUUUUCUGAUGGAUUAAUUUUAAACAGAGGGCCAGGGAACAUUUGGGACCACUAGUAUGAAUGUGUUUCUGUUGGUUAACAGCUAAUAAUUGGCCUAGUUUCUUGUCCCAUUUCUUCUUCAGGAAAACAUAAUUAAUUCAAAUGUGCAGGCCAGUGAUAUGUAUAGCAUGUGCUGCAAACUGUAAAAUAAGGGGAAACGUAAGGCAUAUAGAAGCAGCUAUAAAUCUGGAGUUUCAGUUAUGUAGCUGAGGUCAGAAUCUGAACCAUAAGUUGUUUUAUGAAUAUCUUUUAAUGGAUCAUAAGUUUCUGCAUUGAACAUAGACUGCUAUAGGAAGGGAUAUGGAAACCUGAGACCAUGAAAAUCAGCACAUUCACUGUAAGUCCAAAACUGAGCAUGUAGUGUGACCUACAGUGCAUUAAUAAGAAUGAUUAUAGCUUGUCUUAAUAUUUAGCUCACUUUAAAGUCCUUUGUGAAUGUAUUGCAUAUAUCUUUGUUUUUCUGCAUGGUGAUGCUAAGUUUCAGAUAAAAAAUGGAUUAUUAGAGUCCAGAAAUAAAAACUAGAGAGGUGGAAGAGUGGAUGCUUGUUCAUUUAAACAUUUAUCUCAUUGUCUGAGUAUAAUUUCAAAGUUUGAAUAGCACAUUUGGAAUUUGUAACUUCUACAAAUUGUGCAAAAUUUUUACUUUUCCUGAAUAGGAUUAGGUUUACUGACAGGAACUGUAACUGUGGCUUAUUCAGCAAAGGGCUUUAGCUUUUUACUUUUGAAUGUACUUACAGACUGCAUGAAAUUUCCC
ensembl:lncRNA